AUUUGUUGACUGUUCCCUGUUUCAUUACGUCACUGGUUUCAAAAAUAAGAAGAGUGUGUUACCUUCGUAGUUCUUCUACUAAUAAAGUGAAAAAUUCCUCUACACUUUCCCUUUGGUAACAAAAUUAUGUGGAUCAGCCAUGAGCAAUCAGUUACAAUAUUUGUCAGAUUUCCAUUUUCUAUUGCUGGAAAUCAUGGCUGAAUCACUAACAUUGUCGAUUCAUCAUUCACGUGUCGUCAUUGUGUGGUCAUAUCUUAAGAGAUCCCUUUUAAGGCUGGGUUCUUGCUUGAUCGUGUUGCCCAACCAUAGAAACCCAAGACUUGUAAACCUGUUUACAAUUUAAAUUAUUUUUACCAUUUCACCCAGCCAAGUAAAGCUGCGGUCAAAUUAAAGGAAUCAAUAAAACUGGCUAAGCCAAUUAUCGUAUUAUCUUCCAAGUUUAGAAUGAAUUGGAGAGUGAAAAAACCAACCUUAUUAUAGAUGCCGACAGACUGGCAUUCACUAUAGGUCGUGAUCGUGACGGCGUCUGGCAAGCAACAAUGAUGCCUUUAAGGAAGGAAAGUCAUUGUGAAAUGUCAUGUACAGUCUCCUAGAACGCUUCAAAUCGGUAGGUAUUGUGCUAUGCGGCUUGUGACUCGGAGGAUUUUCAACGACUGGACUCUGCGGCACCACCAAGGUUUCACACAGCAGACUUCAAAACUUCAUAGUGGGGUUUCACGUUUGCCUAAUUGGCAACAGCAAAUCCUAUCUGGAAUUUUGCUAGAGAUUCCUUUCAGACGGUCGUCAACGUUGAGGAAGAAGAAGAAUCUGAACCCAAAGUAGAGCCACAAGAAUCAUCUAUUAUUGAUAUACCAACAACCAACGGAACUUAUUUCAUGCGCUCCAAAACGGCAUUUUUAUGACAAAAGCGGUGGUACCCCAUACCCCAUACAAAUCAAAAUCUCCUGGACCAGGCGUAGGGAAAAAGAGACCGUACAUAUUACUUGUCGCUCAAGUUCUCCAUUAUCAAACCUUAUCACCUCCUUUAUAUCAAUGACGUAAACCACCAGAUUUAGAAACACAAAGGUGAUGGAAUUCGUCUUUACUCAAUUGAGUUCGAUGGUACCGCGAAGUGGAUCAUCUAGCGCCAAUGUCGUUCAAGAUUUCCCACACGACCACAAGAAUAACUCACCGGUUUGGGGAGUCUACCAUGAAUGCCUCGUUUUUCCGCACAAACUGCCUCCAAUCGUUGAGCGAAUUCACAUUGUAAGUUCGAACCCUCUGUGCAUGUCCAGCUGAGAAGAAAUGGUGACCAAAGCAAGCAACAGGAUGGUAAAAACAGGGAAAAGUCAGGGAAGUCGCCCCAUUUCAUCCCCGAUUGCGUAAAGGCUGGACAGUGGAAGCGCACAUUGUCGCAUCCAUUCGUCACUGAGGAAUGAGGACGGCUUGGAACUUUAGGAACACACUAGAGACUUUGGGAUCCGGAGGUAAACCGAAAGCGUGCCUCAAAUUUGAGCCUUCAACGCCAACACGAAAAUAGUGCUCUAAGCAAAUUUUCAAGAUCUGGACCAAAAAGUUAUGCUAGAUAUUCUUAAUUAGUCAAAUUUCCUCUGGUGGAUGUGAUGGAGAAUGCAAAUUACUGUCCUUACUAUUCCAGUGUUUUUAAAGAUGAGAUAGUCAGAUAAGAAGCAUAUCCGGACGACUUCCACCAUUUAAAUGCGCAAAGAACUCGCAGCAGAGGCCGCUGUCGAAGCCAGCGGAUUAAGAAGCUCACAUUUACGAUUUGUUUGGCCAUGAUAUGUUUAAUAUGGGCCUCACUCCAAUAUCAUUUUAUUUUUCCAUUCUUUGUCUAGGAAUUAGAAUUACACUUGACAGGUUGCGUCGUCUGCUACGGCAGCAUUCGGUCAUUUCGGUGUCUCACAACAGCUCCCAAGAUCUUGCUCGUUUUUGUGAGAAAAACCUGACUUUUCGUGCCCAAAAGUGCUCCCACUCGUGCAGUUGAGUGUUCCCCACAUUUUGGUCGUGAUUUUUGCAUUUGGUCAAGAUUUAUUUCACUGUGUCAAUCCAUCUUGUUGACUGACGCCCCGGCUCCAGCUUUAAUUUUUUGCCGCCAGAGGUCCUGCCGAGUGUGCUGCGCCACAAUUUUUCAUUUAAACUGAAUGAGAGCUACCCGUUUGUCCUUUGAAGGAAAAAGAAAAGGCCAACACGGCCAACAAUGUUCUUUGUUUGUUAACCUGUUGGCUGCUACCACUUCAAUCCCCAGCCCUAUAUCCUUGGAAUGGGCCCACUUUUAUUUUGAGGUUAAUCCUGCGCCGCUAUUCCAUGGACGGGAUCCAUUGGUGGAAACUGACGAGAGAUCAGUGACGACUGACUACCGUGCUGACAUUCAGCAAUAAAGCUCACAUGCGUGCCAUCCUUCCGUCGCUUCGAGGCAUGGUUGUGCCUGCUCCAGCGUAAUUCGACUAACCAACCGGCGGGUUGUCAACUCACCCCUCGCUGACUCCUACUACCCUUGUGCUCUCGUCUCUCAACACAGCAGGGGUUUGAUCCUUAUAUUGUUUAGAUCUAUUUGUGAUCUGUGAUGGCGGUAUCUUGAGGACGACGAUGAUGUUCCUAAAUUUGCAUGACAGACUUGAUGACAAGUAAUGUC
rnacentral:lncRNA from 1 species